CCUAACACAUGCAAGUCGAACGGGAAGCGGUGCAUAUUGCUUCGGUGAUAAUGUGCCGUGGAGAGUGGCGAACGGGUGCGUAACACGUAGGUAACCUGCCCUGAAAGGGGGGAUAACCACGGGAAACUGUGGCUAAUACCGUAUAAUCUCGCCGUGGCGGUGGUUACGGUGAGGAAAGCUGAGGCGAUUUGGGAGGGGCCUGCGGUCGAUUAGCUGGUUGGUGGGGUAAAGGCCCACCAAGGCGAUGAUCGAUAGCUGUUCUGAGAGGAAGACCAGCCACACGGGAACUGAGACACGGUUCCGACUCCUACGGGGGGCAGCGGUGAGGAAUAUUGCGCAAUGGGGGGAACCCUGACGCAGCAACGCCGCGUGGAGGACGAAGGUUUUCGGAUUGUAAACUCCUUAACUGGGGGAAGAGAGAGGACGGUACCCCAGGACGAAGACACGGCUAACUAGGUGCCAGCAGCCGCGGUAAUACCUAGGUGUCGAGCGUUAUCCGGAAUUACUGGGCGUAAAGGGUGCGCAGGCGGUGUUACAAGUCCGGCGUGAAAGCUUCUGGCUUAACUGGGAGAGGACGUCGGAAACUGUAGUGCUAGAGUGAAUGAGAGGGGGG
rnacentral:rRNA from 1 species